rfam:Buchnera aphidicola (Schlechtendalia chinensis) strain SC, complete genome.
GCCCAGAUGGUGAAAUUGGUAAACACAAGGGACUUAAAAUCCCUCGGCUGUAUAAGCUUUGCGGGUUCGAUUCCCGCUCUGGGCA